AUGCAAUCAUUCAUUGACUGAACGCAUUUGGAUGAAUUGGACAAAUAGUAACCCUUAUAAGUACCAGUUACCCAUAUGAAAUGUGUCUACAGCUAAUGAAACCGAUGCAUUAUGUUUGUUUAAAGGUUCACAGAAAAUUGUUAGAUCUUAUAACGCAGAAAUGUGCACAGUUAAGGUUGCAUAUCAAUGUAAACAGACAGGCCUUAUUACUUUUAAUAAUGAUUAUAUAACUGGUAUCAUUAAUUGGAGAAGGGGACAAAUGUUAGUCAUUAUGAACAACACUACAAUUGAGAACUAUACACUACCUUAUAUUUUUACACCUUACUGUCCUUUAUCCUCUACCAUAGAACCAAAAGUCAACAACGACACACACACACCUAUUCCGUCCACAUGUAUUAAUACAACUGCCUUCUUACAAGCUGUACAUGUGUCAUUAAAAGUCACUACUCUUGUUGUAACAUUAUGUAAUACAACAAACAAAGGCAGAAAAGGGAAUGGUAUGACACACUGUUAGAUGGUGCUGGAACCACUAUGGGUAUACUAAAUAGUUAUAGAUAUGGAGACCCUCAAGAAUAAGUUAAACACAGCCAGCAUGCAUAUAGGGACUGGUUUUCAUGCUACUGCAAACUGGGCUCCAAUUGUUGUUAAAUCACAGGUUAUAGGAUUGGAUUUAGAUAAAUCAAUGUAUAAUUAUUUAGAUAAUUUAACUGUUGCAACUAUGAAAUUCACCACAGAUCUCGGUAACUGGAGUACUUGUGCCAUCAGGUAUUUAUGGAUACAACAACAAGGAUUGGCAUUAGAAAACACACUAAUGAUUCCCAAACUAGAGAAGAUUAGAGGAAAGCGUAACCUCACAGAUAAUGAAUGGUUACUUCUAAAACCCCAAUCCAGUAAAUGCAAUGGAUGGUUAACUGGUAAUGUUUCACAUUUUUCAUGCUCAUGCUAUUUUACAUUAUAUCAUACAUCAUCAAAGGAUGUUAAAUUAGCUUGUCAAUUUAACACAUUACCAGUACCAGUUUAUGAUCUUUUUGCCAAGAAUUUAACCUGGUGGGCACCCACAUACACAGGGGACUAUAUUUUUCCCAAAGAUAACAUACACAGGUAGCCACACAUAUCCUAAAAGGAGAACUCCUUAAGGUGAGUUCACAAAUUCAGAAUGAUUCAGCCCAUAAUUGGUACAAUGCUUUACUGGUUGGUCCCCUACUGGAUCCCAGAUAAUGAAAUCAUUCUUCUAUCCUUUUGUUAUUAUAGUCCUGAUUUUAUUGUGUAUGAUUUUAUAUAACUGUCAUCUUACUUGUACAUUGAGGAAGAGAGUACAGAAAUGAAUCCAUAAUGCAGAACAGAAACAAUUAGAAAUUCUCCUCUCUGCCACUGGAGGGUAUCAACCCAUCUUUAAACUGGGCCUUAGGAAUUACCACAUGGGAAUCGAGGUGAAGAAAUUAAUGAAAGUCCCGCAGGGAGUGACUAGCACCCCUGAAAAUACCAUGUGGAAGUUUCUCUGUCCUGGUAAGAUUUUAUCGAUAAGAUGAGCAAUUGUUUUAUUGCUCAAAGAGGGGAAUGUAAGAAUAUUAAAUAGUUAACUUGUUUAUAUGUAUUUUAUGCUUUUAUAAGGUUUAUAACAUGAUUAUUGCUGACUGAAGGAAUAUUGAAUACUUAAAGUCAAUAUGCUGACUGUGACAGACUAAGGUAUUUCUUCUAUAGGAUGUAAGACAAUGCUAAAAUUUCAGGAUGUCUUGCCCAUUCCGAUUUUAAGGAUAUUCUUUUCCAGACGUAUGCAAAAGCUUAUCUUUCCAUUGUCAGAAUAACGUAAUACAAGGAAGUAAUAAAUCUUAUAG
rnacentral:lncRNA from 1 species